GACGUAGGGCGCGAGCGUUGUCCGGAUUUAUUGGGCGUAAAGAGCGUGUAGGCGGCCAGGCAGGUCCGCUGUGAAAACUCGAGGCUCAACCUCGAGAGGUCGGUGGAAACCGUCUGGCUAGAGUCCGGAAGAGGAGAGUGGAAUUCCCGGUGUAGCGGUGAAAUGCGCAGAUAUCGGGAAGAACACCCGUGGCGAAGGCGGCUCUCUGGGACGGUACUGACGCUGAGACGCGAAAGCGUGGGGAGCGAACAGG
rnacentral:rRNA from 1 species